GCCAACUAGCGUCCAUAACUUUGUGGGCUCUGUCACAUUGACAUUUAGGUCGUAUAUUUGUGAAAAAAUAUCGAAAUGAAAAAAUAACAAAUAUUUUCAACUAAUAAAUUGUUGUGAUACCACGAUUUGGGUGGAAAAAAGGUUUUGAAAUAAUUUUGGUCAUUCAAAUCAAAUGAGAUCGAAAUGAGUAUUGUUUUGAAGACCGGGUUUGUGAGUUUUACAAUAUCAAAUUCCAACCACAAACCGUAUUUAAAGGAAAGUUGUUGGUAUUGGCUGGACAAGUCCGAGAUGUAGAAGAAUUAAGAACAAAACAAGGGCAGAGUUCAAUAAUUCACGCUCUCAUCAUAAGGCAAACAUCUGUGCACAACAACUACUGUGACUCAUUUUUGUACUACCACGUUGUAUAGUCUAGUUAUUUCCAAAUUGUAAACGGCUAUUAAACCAGCCCUAUCGAAAAACA